rnacentral:rRNA from 1 species
AGAGUUUGAUCCUGGCUCAGGACGAACGCUGGCGGCGUGCCUAACACAUGCAAGUCGAGCGGGGAAUGUUGAGCAGCUUGCUGCUUGAUAUUUCUAGCGGCGGACGGGUGAGUAACGCGUGAGCAACCUGCCUUUAUCAGGGGGAUAACGCAUCGAAAGAUGUGCUAAUACCGCGUAAGACCACAGCCUCACAUGGGGCAGGGGUCAAAGGAGCAAUCCGGAUAAAGAUGGGCUCGCGUCCGAUUAGCUAGUUGGUGAGAUAACAGCCCACCAAGGCGACGAUCGGUAGCCGACCUGAGAGGGUGAUCGGCCACAUUGGAACUGAGAGACGGUCCAGACUCCUACGGGAGGCAGCAGUGGGGAAUAUUGGGCAAUGGGCGAAAGCCUGACCCAGCAACGCCGCGUGAGGGAAGAAGGGUUUCGGCUCGUAAACCUCUGUCCUAUGGGACGAAGGAAGUGACGGUACCAUAGGAGGAAGCCCCGGCUAACUACGUGCCAGCAGCCGCGGUAAUACGUAGGGGGCGAGCGUUGUCCGGAAUGAUUGGGCGUAAAGGGCGCGUAGGCGGCCUGCUAAGUCUGGAGUGAAAGUCCUGCUUUCAAGGUGGGAAGUGCUUUGGAUACUGGUGGGCUGGAGUGCAGGAGAGGAAAGCGGAAUUACCGGUGUAGCGGUGAAAUGCGUAGAGAUCGGUAGGAACACCAGUGGCGAAGGCGGCUUUCUGGACUGAAACUGACGCUGAGGCGCGAAAGCGUGGGGAGCAAACAGGAUUAGAUACCCUGGUAGUCCACGCGGUAAACGAUGAAUGCUAGGUGUAGGAGGUAUCGACCCCUUCUGUGCCGCAGUAAACACAAUAAGCAUUCCG